rnacentral:rRNA from 1 species
AGUGAACGCUGGCAGUAGGCCUAACACAUGCAAGUCGAACGGCAGCACAGGAGAGCUUGCUCUCUGGGUGGCGAGUGGCGGAUGGGUGAGGAAUACAUCGGAAUCCACUCUGUCGUGGGGGAUAACGUAGGGAAACUUACGCUAAUACCGCAUACGACCUACGGGUGAAAGCAGGGGACCUUCGGGCCUUGCGCGAUUGAAUGAGUCGAUGUCGGAUUAGUUAGUUGGCGGGGUAACGGCCCACCAAGGCGACGAUCCGUAGCUGGUCCGAUAGGAUUAUCAGCCACACUGGAACGGAGAAGCUGUCCAGACUCCUAAGGGAGGCAGCAGUGGGGAAUAUUGGACAAUGGGCGCAAGCCUGAUCGAGCCAUACCGCGUGGGGGAAGAAGGCCUUCGGGUUGUAAAGCCCUUUUGUUGGGAAAGAAAGCCAGCUGGCUAACACCCGGUUGGGAUGACGGUACCCAAAGAAUAAGCACCGGCUAACUUCGUGCCAGCCGCCGCAGUAA